CUGGACGAACGCUGGCGGCGUGCUUAACACAUGCAAGUCGAACGGAAAGGCCCUGCUUUUGUGGGGUGCUCGAGUGGCGAACGGGUGAGUAACACGUGAGUAACCUGCCCUUGACUUUGGGAUAACUUCAGGAAACUGGGGCUAAUACCGGAUAGGAGCUCCUGCUGCAUGGUGGGGGUUGGAAAGUUUCGGCGGUUGGGGAUGGACUCGCGGCUUAUCAGCUUGUUGGUGGGGUAGUGGCUUACCAAGGCUUUGACGGGUAGCCGGCCUGAGAGGGUGACCGGCCACAUUGGGACUGAGAUACGGCCCAGACUCCUACGGGAGGCAGCAGUGGGGAAUAUUGCACAAUGGGCGGAAGCCUGAUGCAGCAACGCCGCGUGCGGGAUGACGGCCUUCGGGUUGUAAACCGCUUUCGCCUGUGACGAAGCGUGAGUGACGGUAAUGGGUAAAGAAGCACCGGCUAACUACGUGCCAGCAGCCGCGGUGAUACGUAGGGUGCGAGCGUUGUCCGGAUUUAUUGGGCGUAAAGGGCUCGUAGGUGGUUGAUCGCGUCGGAAGUGUAAUCUUGGGGCUUAACCCUGAGCGUGCUUUCGAUACGGGUUGACUUGAGGAAGGUAGGGGAGAAUGGAAUUCCUGGUGGAGCGGUGGAAUGCGCAGAUAUCAGGAGGAACACCAGUGGCGAAGGCGGUUCUCUGGGCCUUUCCUGACGCUGAGGAGCGAAAGCGUGGGGAGCGAACAGGCUUAGAUACCCUGGUAGUCCACGCUGUAAACGGUGGGUACUAGGUGUGGGGUCCAUUCCACGGGUUCCGUGCCGUAGCUAACGCUUUAAGUACCCCGCCUGGGGAGUACGGCCGCAAGGCUAAAACUCAAAGGAAUUGACGGGGCCCCGCACAAGCGGCGGAGCAUGCGGAUUAAUUCGAUGCAACGCGUAGAACCUUACCUGGGUUUGACAUGGAUCGGGAGUGCUCAGAGAUGGGUGUGCCUCUUUUGGGGUCGGUUCACAGGUGGUGCAUGGCUGUCGUCAGCUCGUGUCGUGAGAUGUUGGGUUAAGUCCCGCAACGAGCGCAACCCUUGUUCACUGUUGCCAGCACGUUAUGGUGGGGACUCAGUGGAGACCGCCGGGGUCAACUCGGAGGAAGGUGGGGAUGACGUCAAGUCAUCAUGCCCCUUAUGUCCAGGGCUUCACGCAUGCUACAAUGGCUGGUACAGAGAGUGGCGAGCCUGUGAGGGUGAGCGAAUCUCGGAAAGCCGGUCUCAGUUCGGAUUGGGGUCUGCAACUCGACCUCAUGAAGUCGGAGUCGCUAGUAAUCGCAGAUCAGCAACGCUGCGGUGAAUACGUUCCCGGGGCUUGUACACACCGCCCGUCAAGUCAUGAAAGUUGGUAACACCCGAAGCCGAUGGCCUAACCGUUGUGGGGGAGCCGUCGAAGG
rnacentral:rRNA from 1 species